AAUGGUAAAUUAUAGAUUUUGGUUCGUUUACGACUUCAAUUAGACAUCGGAUAAUGGGAUGAUUUUUUUGGGUGAAAUUUGGUGGUAUUGUUUAUAGCUUUAAGUUUUUUGCUGGCAAAUAUUUUCACUUGGGGUGUGCACGGUUUGGUUUGGUUUGGUUUAUUAUGAUCCGUUUCCCUUUUCAUUUGGUACAAGUGGUUUACUGAAAUACUCAAAAUCAUCUCAGGAAACACUUCAACAUCUUAGGAAAGUGAGGUUAAAUGGAGAUGGUUAGGUUUGGGGCUUGGACGAGUUCCGAUGAUAAUUGUACAAAAAGUGGUGGUAUCAAUCUAUGAAGUAAAGGAUGUCGGCUCCAACCGUGUAUUCUCCACCAGCUCCUCCUCCCCUACAAAAGGUAUACAUAUGUAAUCUCUCCAUCUUUGCAAUCUCUCCAUUAUCAUCUUCGCUAUUUCUUUCCUUCAGAUAAUGGAUUGUUGUUCAAAUCGAUUGUAAAAAAGGUAUGAUUUUCAUUCUCAUCCCAAGCCAUACAUAGAGAAUCAUCAAAGCAUCAAUCAAUUCGAGGGUCUUGGUUAUGCUCUGUAAUAGGUGAUGGCAUAUUAGGUGAUGAAAGUUCAGAUGUCUUUGCUGCGAACUCAAAUCGACAGGAUCUAUUUAUUAAUUCUAUAUUGAAUGAUGUUUCGUAAAUAAGUUAAGGAUAAAUUAAUGCUUUUUUUAUCAAACUUGCUGGUAUGCUUUUUAUCGAACUUGCAACUACAUGUUAGAAUCUGUUAAAUUUCAUGAUGUGGUUAAGCUGGAAAUUUUGACCCGUUUACUUAUAAAUGGGUUGCCAUUUUCCUAACAAGUCAAAUGGUACAAAUAUAAUAUUUACAUAAAAAGCGAAACGGGUCGAGUGGGUUAAGAUUAGAAGUCACCUAAAGUCAGGGGCGGAACCAAUUAAGAGUGAGCCGUAGCACGGGCUACGACUCAACCCCGUAUUCGCAGUGUUUUUUUUUCGGUUUUAUACAUAGCAUACCCCAAAACAUAUACGAGGAUACCCCUAAGAGAAAAUUAUGAAACUUGAUAUUAUUCAUUAAGCCCAAAACUUGUAAGGUACAAAGCCCAGAUAAUUAGGUUUAUGAUAAUUAAGCCCAAAUUGUAAUAACUAAUAAAGCCCAAAUAAUAAAGUAAGUAAUCUUGCACGUCUUAUGGUUGAAAUGGGAACACAUAGUUCUUGUCCUUUGGUUUAUCGGGUAAUGAAGCUAGCUUUGGUUUUACCGGUUGCAACCACAACCGUUGAAAGAUGUUUUUUUCGAAGUUGAAGCUUGUCAAGACGGAUUUACGCAGUUGAAUGGGCCCAUAAUUUUUGAACAAUGCCAUGUUUGUGCGGUCGAAAAAUAUUUUUUUUUCAUAAAGUAAAAGAUGACGAUGUGAUGGAACGAUUUCAAGCUAUGAAAAAAAAGAGGACAAAUCUAUUAUGUUUUUGUUUUACUUUAUUUAUUUAUUUUUGUUUUUUUAAUAUUGUAUAAUUGCAUGGUAAAAUUUUUUUUGGGAUACCCCUGAUUUAAUGGGCUAGUUCCGCCAUUGCCUAAAGCAGUGGAUUUUAAUGCUUACAGCCUCUUAAAUUAUAUUUAGAGUGAAUUUCAAGGAUUGUCCUUUAUCUUUAUACCCAUUUUCAGGCGCUGUCCUUUAUGUUUAAAUUGACGAGUUUUGUACUUUACGUUUUCAAAUCAUACACGUUUUGUCCUUUAGGCCUAAGCCAGUUACUUUUUUCAGUUAAAUUAAGUAACACAAGGGUAUUUUAGUCUUUUAACCAACUUAUUUUAAAAUCCUUAUCUUUAUAAAUAAAAGUCAUUUAUACAUUUUAAUUUAACUCCCAUCCAAUGUUUUCGUUUCCAUUCCGUCAUUAUUCACUUCCUACUUCCAAUUGCUCUAUCAAAAACCCUAAAGCCAUUGAGAUGCACAACUGACGGCAACCGAUUGAUAUUGUUUUGAUUAUCUACAAUCCAAUCUUUUUCAAAUCAGUUGAGAAAUUAGGUGAUCUUUUUUAUGGUGGUCUUCUUUGUAAAGAAAACAGGAGGCAAGCGAUUGAUGAACCGAUCGUGAAUCACUGCUUGUCGAUUGAAGAACGGAUGAUGUGUAUCACUGCUUGUCGAUCGUGAAAACAGGAGGCGAGCGACUGAUGAAUUGGGGUAUAAAAGCCAUUAAAAUGGGUGAAGAACUCACUGAUUAUGCUACAAUCAAUGGCCACCCCCACCUCCGACAAACUGGAAGGGUUUCAACCAAACAAAAAUCGCUUCUGAAACUCUCUUCAACCAAACCCCCACCUCCGGCGAACUAGAAGGAUUUCAGAUCGUCGUUUUGGUUUGAGAAUAAGAUUUCAUGGGUUGUCAGAGUUUGAGGGGAAGAAGAGGAGUUGCCGGCGGCGACUUUCCAACCACAAUGCCCACUGCCGUAAGCCGUAGCAAGAAACGAUCCCCUACAACCCGAGCAUUCCGUCUUCGUCAUUUUACGAUGGGCAAGAACAAUUAUGGUUUGUGUUUAACAAUGUUCCUUUGAAUUCUGUUUGGGAAACCACAUGCAACCCACAACAAACAACACCCUUAGUAAAAGCUGAAAAACCUGAAGCUUUUCAUUUUCCAGAUGCUUUUACUUUCAAUAGGAUUACGCCGCAUAAGGCCACCGCAGCCGGCGCUUUUCAUCAAGGUACGGAUGCAGAAGCACUUGAUUUUACUAAAAGUGGUGCUUCCUAAUUUCCUUUUAUUUCAUUUUUAUUGCAUCUUCUCAAUAUGUAUCAUAUCAUAUAAGGUUGUUCAUGUAUUAUAUAUAAUUAAUAGUAUGGUGCACAUGAUAAUGUAUUUAUAGCUUAUCGUUUUUUGAAGCACAUGUUGUUUAAUGUUUAGCUUCUUUUGACAUAUUAUGGGGUGUGGCAACCUCUAUUGCGACUAUGGUGGACUUUCGUUUGACUCUAUGACUCCGAGAUCUUAUUCUGUACCCCCAUCCCCACCCUACUAUCGGUGGUGUGGCAAGUUAAGACCUGAAACAAGUAACAAUUGCAACUAAAGGAUAUUGUACUUGGGCUUUUUCAAGUAUAUUCAUAAUGUUUAGUACAAGCUGCAACUUUAUUUUUU